rnacentral:rRNA from 1 species
GCACGAGAAAGGGCUUCGGCCCCGGUACAGUGGCGCACGGGUGAGUAACACGUGGGUAAUGUUCCCUCGGGCGGGGGAUAACCCUCCGAAAGGAAGGCUAAUACCGCAUAAGACCACGGCUUCGAAAGAGGCCGAGGUAAAAGCAGGCCUCUUCAUGAAAGCUUGCACCUGAGGAUCAGCCCGCGGCCCAUCAGCUAGUUGGCAGGGUAAGAGCCUACCAAGGCUAAGACGGGUAGCUGGUCUGAGAGGAUGAUCAGCCACACUGGAACUGAGACACGGUCCAGACUCCUACGGGAGGCAGCAGUGGGGAAUCUUGCGCAAUGGGCGAAAGCCUGACGCAGCGACGCCGCGUGGGUGAUGAAGGCCUUCGGGUUGUAAAGCCCUGUGGGGAGAGACGAAUAAGUCGGAGCCAUACCUCCGGCGAUGACGGUAUCUCCUUAGCAAGCACCGGCUAACUCUGUG